rnacentral:rRNA from 1 species
GAUGAACGCUGGCGGCGUGCCUAAUACAUGCAAGUCGAGCGAACAGAUGAGGAGCUUGCUCCUCUGACGUUAGCGGCGGACGGGUGAGUAACACGUGGAUAACCUACCUAUAAGACUGGGAUAACUUCGGGAAACCGGAGCUAAUACCGGAUAAUAUAUUGAACCGCAUGGUUCAAUAGUGAAAGACGGUUUUGCUGUCACUUAUAGAUGGAUCCGCGCCGCAUUAGCUAGUUGGUAAGGUAACGGCUUACCAAGGCAACGAUGCGUAGCCGACCUGAGAGGGUGAUCGGCCACACUGGAACUGAGACACGGUCCAGACUCCUACGGGAGGCAGCAGUAGGGAAUCUUCCGCAAUGGGCGAAAGCCUGACGGAGCAACGCCGCGUGAGUGAUGAAGGUCUUCGGAUCGUAAAACUCCGUUAUUGGGGAAGAACAAAUGUGUAAGUAACUAUGCACGUCUUGACGGUACCUAAUCAGAAAGCCACGGCUAACUACGUG